rnacentral:misc_RNA from 1 species
GUAAGUAAAAGUCGUAACAAGGUUUCCGUAGGUGAACCUGCGGAAGGAUCAUUAUUGAAUGAAACACUUCUGGCUUUAUGCUGUUGUGCUGGCCCUUUGGGCAAUGUGCACACGGCUCUGGUCACUUGUUUCUUCUGUUCCACCUGUGCACUGCCUGUAGACACGCUGUGUCUAUGAUAUUUGUUAACACACAACAAUGUUAGUUGGCAUGUUAUAUAUAAUAAUAAAAUAUACAACUUUCAACAACGGAUCUCUUGGCUCUC